rnacentral:lncRNA from 1 species
GCUCAAAACACUAACUGGUGGUCGGGUGGAGCAUUUUAACCACAAAUGAACCUAAUAACUAACACAAAGAGUGAUGUUUAAUGGCCAUAAAUAUGAACAAAUCUUGCAUUAUGCUUUAAAAUUCACCUUCCUGCUGCCUUUUAGCAACAAUGGACCCCUAAUGUAAAUGACACUGAAGAGCUGCACACGUUCAUCAGCUCAUCUUAUCUAGAAAUCAUUUGGUUAAUGUACAGGAAAUGGUUAAAUCUUUGAAAACAGAACUUCAGCACGUUUGCACAAAACAAACAAAUGCUAGAGACAGACAUGAAAAGCUUCAAGAAUGUCUGAACAUGCAAGACACCGCUCAGCCUUCUGCUUUAUCUUCACCAUAGAUUGUUUGUUGGCGAUGCAUGUAAAGGCACAAGACUCUUCCAGCGAUGAACCGGCCUCAGAAAUCAAAUAUGCCGUCAUAGGAGCAGGAAUUGGCCUUUUCUUUUCCAUCUGCUUUCUGCUAAUCAAAAUUUACAUCAUCAAAAAGCAGGUGCAUGAUAGUGAACUAUCAGACACAUCACUAAGAAGAGCAUCUGCACGGAUCAUUGACGUGGAGAGCAGGAGGGAAUGAAAUAUCUUCUGAGGAUGAAUUAAUACAGUCCUUUGUCAUUCUAUGACAAUUUAAUACAGUUGUAUGUAUUAAAUUGUAACCAGUUUAGGCCUAUAAAACAAAUAAUUGUAAAAUCAGCAAUUUGCUGUGCCUUCAUGAGGUCAUUUUGUGCUUUUUUGGAGCCACACCUGCUUUAAUGUAAAAUAUAUAUACUGUACUCAGAGCUAUACAUUUAUUAAUUUUAACAUAGAAAUAUACAGUUUUUAUCAAGAGCAUAAAAGAUUUAAACCAGCUUGUCUUUUCAUUUAAAACCCAUUUGUUGUCUUUAAUCAUGCAUGUUUUCCUUCAUUCAUCAUCUGUUGUGUGGGACAAUUAAAUCUACAUUUCUAUGUCAUUAAAUAUGACUGUAUAUUUCUUAAAUCGACAAAACAGACUAUAAAAUUUAAGUCCACAUAGUCAUUGGUCUUAUUAAAAUGCAUCUUUCUCAUGCUUUAUCUACAGUAUCAGAAACACACAUAAAUGUAAUUUUUCACCAUAAAUGUGAGCUAUCUGCCUUAACUUUACUCUGAAUUUAUAAUAUGAU